UGGGGAAUAUUGCACAAUGGGCGAAAGCCUGAUGCAGCAACGCCGCGUGAGUGAUGAAGGUCUUCGGAUUGUAAAGCUCUGUCUUUUGGGACGAUAAUGACGGUACCAAAGGAGGAAGCCACGGCUAACUACGUGCCAGCAGCCGCGGUAAUACGUAGGUGGCGAGCGUUGUCCGGAUUUACUGGGCGUAAAGGGUGCGUAGGCGGAUGUUUAAGUGAGAUGUGAAAUACCCGGGCUUAACUUGGGUGCUGCAUUUCAAACUGGAUAUCUAGAGUGCAGGAGAGGAGAAUGGAAUUCCUAGUAUAGCGGUGAAAUGCGUAGAGAUUAGGAAGAACACCAGUGGCGAAGGCGAUUCUCUGGACUGUAACUGACGCUGAGGCACGAAAGCGUGGGUAGCAAACAGGAUUAGAUACCCUGGUAGUCCACGCCGUAAACGAUGAGUACUAGGUGUAGGAGGUAUCGACCCCUUCUGUGCCGCAGUAAACACAUUAAGUACUC
rnacentral:rRNA from 1 species